rnacentral:rRNA from 1 species
UACGAACGCUGGCGGCAUGCCUAACACAUGCAAGUCGAACGAGACCUUCGGGUCUAGUGGCGCACGGGUGCGUAACGCGUGGGAACCUGCCUUUAGGUUCGGAAUAACUCAGAGAAAUUUGAGCUAACACCGGAUAAUGUCUUCGGACCAAAGAUUUAUCGCCUUUAGAUGGGCCCGCGUAAGAUUAGCUAGUUGGUGGGGUAAAGCCUACCAAGGCGACGAUCUUUAGCUGGUCUGAGAGGAUGAUCAGCCACACUGGGACUGAGACACGGCCCAGACUCCUACGGGAGGCAGCAGUGGGGAAUAUUGGACAAUGGGCGAAAGCCUGAUCCAGCAAUGCCGCGUGAGUGAUGAAGGCCUUAGGGUUGUAAAAGCUCUUUUACCCGAGAUGAUAAUGACAGUAUCGGGAGAAUAAGCUCCGGCUAACUCCGUGCCAGCAGCCGCGG